rnacentral:misc_RNA from 1 species
UACUGGCAGGAUCAACCAGGUAGCAUUCCUUCGCGACGCCGACGCCCGCAUGAGGCCCGACCGGCCGUGCGGCCCUCGGACGCUCAAGACGGGCGCGGCAGUCGUUCGUGUCGAGGGACGAAAUGCGUUGCUUGGGCAAACGAAGGCCGAGAGACCCCGCACCCGCGCAUAACGUUCUGCAUCCGAGAGCACGGGCAGAGCACCUCAUGGGCCAGGGCAACCACGCAAGCGGGCGAGGCAUGCCGGGACCACGAGGCUCGCCUUGCGUCCACCCCACCACCCGUGAGGGCG